GGGGCGGAGGCGGUGGUCGGUCGGCUCUCUCCAGCGCACGGCCUGGCUUGGUGGCAGAGGCGGCGCCUGGCCCGCAGGACCGAGCCGGGCUGGACUGCCGCGCCACGCGGGACGGGCGAAGGGGGGCGCUGCGCUCGGCCCCGGGCGGGGACUGACGGCGGCGGCUGCUCCGGACGAGCGUGGUCCCCGCGUGCGUACACGCACACGCCGCUGCGCAGGGACACACGGACCCCGGCCGCCCACGGCCACACAGGCGCUGAGACCCAGCUUGGCGCGCGCUCCUCCGCACACCCGCUCCCCAUCCCCGCGCGGCGCUGGCCGCGGACUCGCUGGCUGCGCGUCGUUUGCUGAGUCUGCCCCGGCCCCCCGUGAGCAGCCCGGAGACACACUGGGGCUGACCCGCCGCUGCUGUCAGCGGGAAGCCAGCAGUGCUGGCCAAGAAGUGUCAUGGCUGGUGUUGUGCAGGUCUCCCUGGCUGCUCUCCUCCUGCUGCCUAUGGCCUCCGCCAUGCAUUCUGACUGCAUCUUCAAGAAGGAGCAAGCCAUGUGCCUGGAGAAGAUCCAGAGGGCCAAUGAACUGAUGGGCUUCAACGACUCCUCUCCAGGCUGUCCCGGGAUGUGGGAUAACAUCACGUGUUGGAAGCCUGCCCACGUGGGUGAGAUGGUCCUGGUCAGCUGCCCUGAACUCUUCCGAAUCUUCAACCCAGACCAAGUUUGGGAGACCGAAACCAUUGGAGAGUCUGAUUUUGGUGACAGUAACUCCUUAGAUCUCUCAGACAUGGGAGUGGUGAGCCGGAACUGCACGGAGGAUGGCUGGUCGGAACCCUUCCCUCAUUACUUUGAUGCCUGCGGGUUUGAUGAAUAUGAAUCUGAGACUGGGGACCAAGAUUAUUACUACCUGUCGGUAAAGGCCCUCUACACAGUCGGCUACAGCACGUCCCUCGUCACUCUCACCACUGCCAUGGUCAUCCUGUGUCGCUUCCGGAAGCUGCAUUGCACACGCAACUUCAUCCACAUGAACCUGUUUGUGUCGUUCAUGCUGAGGGCGAUCUCCGUCUUCAUCAAAGACUGGAUUCUGUAUGCAGAGCAGGACAGCAACCACUGCUUCGUCUCUACCGUGGAAUGUAAGGCUGUCAUGGUUUUCUUCCACUACUGUGUUGUGUCCAACUACUUCUGGCUGUUCAUCGAGGGCCUGUACCUCUUCACCCUGCUGGUGGAGACCUUCUUCCCUGAAAGGAGAUACUUCUACUGGUACACCAUUAUUGGCUGGGGGACCCCGACUGUGUGCGUGACGGUGUGGGCUACACUGAGACUCUACUUUGAUGACACAGGCUGCUGGGAUAUGAAUGACAGCACAGCUCUGUGGUGGGUGAUCAAAGGCCCUGUGGUUGGCUCUAUCAUGGUUAACUUUGUGCUUUUUAUUGGCAUCAUCGUUAUCCUUGUGCAGAAACUUCAGUCUCCAGACAUGGGAGGCAAUGAGUCCAGCAUCUACUUCAGCUGCGUGCAGAAAUGCUACUGCAAGCCACAGCGGGCUCAGCAGCACUCUUGCAAGAUGUCAGAACUGUCCACCAUUACUCUGCGGCUGGCCCGGUCCACCCUGCUGCUCAUCCCACUAUUUGGAAUCCACUACACGGUAUUCGCCUUCUCCCCAGAGAAUGUCAGCAAAAGGGAAAGACUCGUGUUUGAGCUGGGGCUGGGCUCCUUCCAGGGCUUUGUGGUGGCUGUUCUCUACUGUUUUCUGAAUGGCGAGGUACAAGCGGAGAUCAAGCGAAAAUGGCGAAGCUGGAAGGUGAACCGUUACUUCGCUGUGGACUUCAAGCACCGACAUCCGUCUCUGGCCAGCAGUGGGGUGAACGGGGGCACCCAGCUCUCCAUCCUGAGCAAGAGCAGCUCCCAAAUCCGCAUGUCUGGUCUCCCCGCUGACAACCUGGCCACCUGAGCUGCCCUCCCCUCCCUCCUCUCCUCCAUCCACAGGCUGGGACUGCAGGCAGGCGCCAGCCCACGCAUGUUCAUGCCUCCUCCCUCCCCUUGGGCAGGCCCUGGGCUGGAAGCUUGGCUCCCCAAGGGGGAGAAGGAGGCAGGGCAGACUAGGAUUGUUCCCUCAUUUUGGUACGGGCCCCACCCACUGUGGUCCCCUGGGCCCUGACCCCAGACAUGUAAAUACUCCUCGAAUUUGGAAAAGUUGUCCCAUACCUUUCUCCUCGUGUCCCUCCUCACCUCCAGCCAGGUCUCAGUUCCACCCAUCUGUGUCUCGGUCAGCCUCAGUGAUGGCCUGACCUCAGCUGUGAGGCCUCGUGAGCUAAGGCUGAAGAGAGCUUGCCUGUGGGAGCUGGCGUGGUACCUGUCCCAACAGCCCCCCUCAUCAUCUGAUUUUGGAUGUGACCCCUCGGGAGUGUGCAUGCCACUGUGGGGCUCCUCUCAGUCCUGGGCCCAAGUCCCCGAAGCCCAGCAGAGGGCCAGCUCGUGUGGCCAGAACGGCCCUUGGUGCAGAUCUCCUGGCACUCGCCCAGCAUCUUGGUGUCUGGGUGUUCAGCUCCUGGGUCCCAGGGCAGUGGGACAGCUCCAAGCCUCUUCUCAUCAGAGACUUCAGUUUGGGUGGGAAGUCCAUAGGUCAGGAAAAGUUCUGGUGCUUUUCAUUUGAUCCAAGAGGAGCCGAGAGCCAGAAAUGUGGCUGUGAUUGGGAGACACACAGCUUGGGAGACCCAUGGAAGAAAACCCUUUGCCAUCUCCAUUGAUUUAACCCCAGCUCAAGAUGGGCAGCGUUCUUCUGGUCACCUCCCGUCCACCUCUCCUACCCACAUGGAUGCCUUCCAGAAGCUGUUUCCAACCACGCCCACCAGAGAGUCCCUAAGGCCUCCCCUCCCCAUUUCCCCCAAGUCAAAGCCAUGACUAGGAUGAACCAGCCGCCUGCCUGUGAUGUCAGUGAAUCCUGAAUCACCUUUCGCCUCCAUGCGCCUGAGUCUGGGGCCCAGGGCUCUCCCACCCCCACUCCCACCCCCAUGGAUAAGGUGUCCCAGACACCAGAUCCUCGGGCCUGGACUCAACUAUUGAAAUCUGAGACCUCUGCCAAGAUGUCCCUUAUAUGCCCUUGACCUUGACUCACCAUGGGCUGCUAGGGUGUCAGGAGAAGCCGCACCCACCAUGCCCAUUCUCAUGGGGUAUUUGCUUCCCACCACCUGUCCCUGGGCCCCCAGCUGCAGGCUGCAAACCCUCAGCCUGAGAAUGUGAAAUAGGGCAGUGCCCAGCUGGGGAGGUAGAGGGAAGUGCUGGAGUACAUGGUCCCUGCGUGGCCUAGUUUUCCACGUCAGCGUUUGGUGUUACUCCUGUCCAAGUUCUGUUUGCAGCUUGUCUCAUGAAGAUGUUCUGGAAUGCUUGGGGACUUUGUGUGGAAGAGGAUUGUUAUUUCAUUUUAUAAAGAGGAAGGGGCCUGGGGGACUUGGGAAAAUGUUUCUGGAGUGGCUUUCAGAGUGGCUGGAAAAGGCUCUUGUUGCUGUCAUUUAGAGAGAAGCCCGUGUCUUUGGCCAGUCAAGUAAGUCCCUGGGUCUUUGGCAAAGCCAGAGGAAGAAAGGAGGCACCUGACCUUUCCCGGGCAUGCUUGGUGACUCAGGCUGAUCAUGGAGUAUGCAGUUGCCCUUCUACCCUGCACCUGACCUCCUGGUCCCCUCCGCCUGCACUAGUGUGUAUUACUGAAGCAAGGCUUCUGUGGCCAUCUUGCACUUUGGACACUGCUAAGGUGGCUGGGCUGCCUGGAAGGAGCCAUGACUGGUGUUCAGGGUACUACUCUAUUCCAGUUGGGUUCAGACUGCCAUGACUGUGGAUACGUUGCUCCCUGCCCUGUACUUAAGUGAUUUUCCAGUUCAAAGCCAAGGCAGAGAUGGACCUUCUGUCCCUUCCAUUUGAACACCACAGUGGAACCUGGAGGACUGGAAGAACUAGGUCACGGACAUUUGAGCAGGUGCCUUGGGCCUGACGUACAGACAGUCAUAUAUACGUGGCUGGGAUACGGUGCCUCAUCCAGAUCCAAUGAGCAGCCCCUGGGGAUCGACCCCAUUCAUUCGUCAUCACUCCCAGCAGCAGGUCUGUUUCAUUGUGGAAGAAACUUUGGCAUUAUAGAGACAUCAUCGCAAAACAGCAAAAACAAAAUCGGCCCUGAACCCCAUGCACUGUGCUGCUUCCUGAGCCCCGGCCCUGUGUCCUCCUAGAGCUUGCUGGUUCCUAUUGGCUGGUUGGUUUUCCUGUCUGAAUUUUUGCCAGUCCUGUGAGCAGGACUGAUAUAUUCUCAAUGUUCCAGGAGGUUCUGGCCUUCAGGAACACUGGCGGUAGGAGGACAGCAUAAGGUCUGUGUAAAACUCUUCCCUCUCUGACCCUGUGUUUUCAAAUCUGUAAAAUGGGCAAUGAGACUAGAUGAUUUGUAUAUAGCCCAAAGCAUCUCUGGAACUGUCUAAACACCAGCCAUCUACUUGAAAUGGGCCCCUGAACUGUGGUAUUUGCCUGGGCCAGGAAAGGCUAAGAAAUCCUGUCAUGUCAAGACAGCUUGAGAGAUUUUGGGAAAAGUGGGGCUGGGAAGGAGCAGCCUUGUGAGACUCCAUCCCUGCUGAGGAUUAUUUCUGGGAAGCGGGUUCUCAUUUUGUGCAAUCCUGAAGGACCAAACUCACCCACAGGGGCCGAAUUGGGAUUAUAUAUAAUGCCAAUCAUUCUUGGGAUGAAGAAAUCUCUUUCCCUGUCACGACUGUCCAGCAAGGGACUAGGCAGAGAGUGUCAGGGCAAGACUCUUAUCCUGGAGGAAAUGAGAUUCCAAGUCAAGGAUGCUGAGGCUGUCAGGGAGCCAGAGAAGGGGUUCAAGUGUGGAAUGUGGGUGGCGGUGGUUCAGUGGCCCUGUGGUGGCUCCUAGCACUGCAGACUUAAUGACAAGCCACAUUCUCUGUACCAGUGUGUUGCUCUGUCACCCUGCUUGACACAUCCAGUGGCUUACAGUGACUCCUCUCUAACUCAGCCCCCUCCAAGGUGGGUUCAUUUGCCGAGCAGGGCCCGGAAACUAGAGCCAAGCCCGAGGCUUGAGACACACCUGUAUCUACAGUCCCACUCAAGGAUGCCCACUCACUUCUCUCAUCUGACCCUGUUUGUGGAAGGGAAAGCUCAAAGGGUCUCUUUUUGAGUGAUACUCUUGCCUCCUUCAUGACUACUCCAAAGUGAAGCCAGCAAGCAUUAAUACUUUGUUAUCAAAGUCUUCCUUGAGCGCAGGGACCAUGGAAGUCAGCUAGAAGAGCCCUGACCAAGGAGCAGGGACUUGGGCUUCAAGCUUUGUUAGGGGCUUGUGUGACCUUGACUCAUUCCCCGUGUGUCUUUGAGGCUUACAAAAUGCUAAAGCUGGGAGGAAACUUGGAGAUCUGUAGGUCAAACCUCCCCAUUGGGCUGAUGAGAAAACACAGCAUGGUGCCUGCCACCACGGUGGGAUCCAGUAUUUUUUAUAAAUCUAAGUGGCUCACAUAUGCACAGCCUUGCACAUGAGCAGAAUGUGACACUCAAUGCAGCCAUGCAGUAUAUAUGUAACCUUGCACAGGAGAGGUGCUCUUGUGACAGAAUGUUGUCCAGGACUCUACUGCAGAAGCAGUGGAAUCAGCAUGGUAAUAGGGAGACCUACUUUUCAACCCUGGCUUAGCCACCUGCCCUGUGAUCCAGGGCUUACCUUCUUUGGGCCUCGGCCUUCUAAUCUGAAUAAUGGGGAGGACAUGGUUGGCAUUGUUAGCCCCACAGGCCAAGGGUAAGGUUGAGAUGAGAUGGCUUGUAUGUCAAGAUUUUGGAAACUAUACAAAUGGAGGCUUGUUACUGGGAUGAAGAUGGCUGAAAGGGACUCCUUGCUGUCUAUCUACUCCUUCGAGCCCUCCCUGAGUUAACCUUUGCCCCAUUCGUAAAACCACCAGCAUCAGGAAUAAGGGGGAGGCCAGAGGGCUCAGAUGGACACAGAAUUCUAGCUUCAUCUGUAUCAGCUGAUUGUUUUCUGUUGGGAUUAGAGUGAGCAUACUUCCAUAUGGGUGAUAGCAGUAUUUCCUUGCCACUCCCCUGCGAGUCAACUUCAAGGAUCUGGGACAUUUCUCAAUUGGGUGUUGUGUCCAUUCCUCCUCCUUCUGAACUCAGUCUUGAGAUGUGUCUGUACUUGGCCAUUUGUGUCUUGUCUGAUGUCCGUCUUCUGUAGCUUUGCCUCUGUCAGGGCUGGAGUGGUACAGCCCCUGGCAUCUCAGACAUGGUUCCUGGCUCACUCGUGGGAGCUGGACCAGCCUGGGUUCCAUCUCCCAUAAUAAAGACAAGCCCCACAGACCUUACUGCUACCGCUGCUGCCAUUAAUGUUGUGCUCACAAUCUUGUCCAGGAUUUUAAGGAUGUCACACUGCUGUAGAUGACUCAAUAAAUGUUUUACCGUUUUUCCUGG